rnacentral:lncRNA from 1 species
AAAAGAAAACCAUGAGAGACAAAGAAAGAAAACCAUGGAACCUCAACCCUUCCGAGCUUGAUUUUUUGAGAUCCGUAACUCCAAUAAAAAAUCUAAUUCGAUAAAAUUGUUCGUAUCCUCCUCCUCUACACGUUGGCGUUACUUUUGUCCGGUAGAAGUUGACAGUGACAUAACUCCUCUUUUCCUUGAGUUCGGUCAAUUAGAGUUCUAGGAGGCACAGAAGUUUUCUUCUUCAGCAGCUUGGUCAGAAAGCUUCUCCGAAGUUUUCGUUAUUGUGAUUUCUGUAAGGAGGUAGGGUUUGGUAAUUUUAUAAUAAUUGAAUAUGAAUUUGAUAAGUGAAUGUUCAUUUGAUUGAUUAUUGAUUGAAUUUGACUGAAUUUAUAUUGAAUUUUUGUGAUAUAUUGAUAUUUGUGAUUAGUUUGGAAUUCGGUCAGUUUAAAUGCAGCCAAGAACCGAAUUAUUUUGAUGAAUUUGGGUCUGGAAUAUUGUUGGUAAUAAAGUGGAAUUGGUGAGAUUUGAUGAUGACAUUCAGAUUUAAUAAGAAAUGAAUUGAUGAGAUGCUUUGAGAUAUGUAAAUGGUUUGAUUUUGGAAGCGGUUGGAUUUUUAAUUGGUUUAAUUUUAUAAAUUAUUUUGAUAUUAGAAAUGGUUUUGGUUUGUUAGAAACGAUUUGAAAGAAUUUGAGAAAUGGUUUGGAUGGGACCCGAGAAGGGUGGCAAAGUCCGAGUUUUAGGGGAGAUGCUGUUGAAAUUUUGUUAUAAAAUUUAAGACUUUGUUUGAAAUGUUAUUUAGAAAAAAAAAUUGGAUUUGAGAAAUUGUAUUAUUUAAUUUUUGAUUUAUUAAGAAAAUAAUUAUGUUUCGAGUUUAAUCCAUUUAAGAAAAGUAUAUGUUUUAAGUUCGAUCUAUUUAGAAAAGAAUUAUUUUACGAUUUUAAAUUAUUUAAGAGAAGUAUUAUGUUUUAAGGUUGAUUUAAAUAUGAAAGGGCUUAUAUUUUAAUUUAAAUUUGAAUUAAAAAUUUUAUUUGGAGGAUUUUUAGUGAACUUUAAAAGUAAUUGAAUUUUGAUUGAAUGAUUUCGUUUUGCGACGUUUUGGAAAAAGUCAAAGAAUUAAUUUUAAGGAUGGAACUGGGAUUGUUGGUUUUGAAAUUGGUUUGGGACCUCUGAUUUGUAUGAUUUGGUUUUAAUUUGAUUUAGAAACUUUGUUUGAUUAAUUCAAUUUAAGAAAACAAUGAUUGUUAAGGAUUUCUAAUGAACUUAAGAAAAUGAGAUUGUUUGUCGCUCCCCUAAAGUCUAGAGGCUUUGCUGAGGGGUAUAAUUAAUAAAUGGUUUCUCUUUGUCUUUUAAAAGAAGAAUUAGUUUAAGUGAAAUUGUUUUAAAGGUUUUGGAAAAUGUUAUAAAGAGGUGGUUUUGGGUUUAAAAGAAAAAGAGAAGAUAGCAGAUGUUAUGUCGCUGGAAUGACUUAUCUGACUUGCGAGUUGGAUUGCGUCGGAUGCAGGUCGAAACCGACAAAUGAGCUCAUUACCUGCGAUAGGAAUAGGCAUGCAUCAUCUUUGUUUGCAUAUUUUGCAUUUGGUUCAGUGUUGUGAAUUGUUUGUGAUUGCUUUAGUGUUUUUGUGAUUUUCAUUGCUUGUUAAUUUGAACUUCUAUGACUGGUUAUUGUUCUGGGUCCUUGUGGUGGGCUGUGAAUUAAAUUGAGCUGUGAUAAUCCCGACUUAACUAACUAUCCUGACCCUACUAAAACCUCCCCAAUUUUUACCCCUUAUUUCCACCCAUUUCAGCUACAGGUGCUAAUGUUUAGUGCGGAGCUACAGGAGCAUAGAAUAUUAUGUUUACGAGUUAAGUUGUUAGAUCUUAUUUUUCCCUCGUCGUUUAUUAUUUUAGUUUUAGAAGGGCAAGAUUUGUUUUUGAGAAUUUUAGAAUAAGUCUAUAUAUUAAUGCUAUGUGAAUAUAUAUACUUUUGUGGUUCAGUGG